UUAUUGACAUUUUGGUACAAGAGAGACUGCAUCUACAACCGCGGUGCCAUAAGAUUAGUACCAUAUAGCCUAGGUAUGUAGUAGGCUAUACCAUCUAGGUUUGUGUAAGUACACUC